UAGGGAAUCUUCGGCAAUGGACGAAAGUCUGACCGAGCAACGCCGCGUGAGUGAAGAAGGUUUUCGGAUCGUAAAACUCUGUUGUUAGAGAAGAACAAGGAUGAGAGUAAAAUGUUCAUCCCUUGACGGUAUCUAACCAGAAAGCCACGGCUAACUACGUGCCAGCAGCCGCGGUAAUACGUAGGUGGCAAGCGUUGUCCGGAUUUAUUGGGCGUAAAGCGAGCGCAGGCGGUUUCUUAAGUCUGAUGUGAAAGCCCCCGGCUCAACCGGGGAGGGUCAUUGGAAACUGGGAGACUUGAGUGCAGAAGAGGAGAGUGGAAUUCCAUGUGUAGCGGUGAAAUGCGUAGAUAUAUGGAGGAACACCAGUGGCGAAGGCGGCUCUCUGGUCUGUAACUGACGCUGAGGCUCGAAAGCGUGGGGAGCGAACAGGAUUAGAUACCCUGGUAGUCCACGCCGUAAACGAUGAGUGCUAAGUGUUGGAGGGUUUCCGCCCUUCAGUGCUGCAGCAAAACGCAUUAAAGCACUCCCGCCUGGGGGAGUACGACCGCAAGGUUGAAACUCAAAUGAAAUUGACGGGGGUCAUAGCUGUUUCCUG
rnacentral:rRNA from 1 species